AGCUAACUCAUCAGGACUGUUUGAGUGGU
rnacentral:piRNA from 1 species